UUUCCUUCUGCUACACAGAAAGUUAGUCAGUGGGCUUCCGGCUUUGUUGAAUCUAUGCCAUGAACCUCAGUUUACUAUGCAGUGUGGCAUUUUGUUUCCUGCAGACAGGUCCAGUGAGUGCUGGUGUCAUUCAGACUCCAAAAUCAUUGAUUCUAAAGGCAGGACAACAUGUAACAAUCAGAUGUACUCAGAAUAUGAAGCAUGACGCCAUGUUCUGGUACCGUCAGGAUCCAUCGUUGGGACUAAAGGUAAUCUACUAUUCAUAUGAUGUUGGCGUCAUCUCCAAAGGAGAAGUCUCUGAGGGGUACAAUGUCUCCAGAUCAAGCACAGAGGACUUCACCCUCACUGUGGAAUUGGCCUCUCCCUCCCAGACAUCUGUGUACUUCUGUGCCAGCAGUUAUACCACAGAGCUGUGUGGCUGCCUCCUCUCUGCACAUAAAGAUACAUAUAGAGAAGAGGCACCCACCCCGGGAACUCAGUGGCACAUUGGAGUUCUCAACACUGGAACCUGGGAGCUAUGAAUAUUCUGGGCAGUAUUCACCUCGGGUCUCUUCUGAGGGGCAUCUUUUGGAGAUGGUAGAAUCACCCAGACACCUAGAUACUGGAUCACACAGACCACAAGAAAGGUGGUCCUGGAAUGCUCUCAGAAUAUGGACCACUAUUGGAUGUUCUGGUAUCGACAAGAUGCAGGACAAGGGUUGAAACUGAUCCAUUACUCAGCAAGCAUU